rnacentral:rRNA from 1 species
AUUGAACGCUGGCGGCAGGCCUAACACAUGCAAGUCGAGCGAGAGGCGGACGGGAGAGAAAUGUAUGGGGACUGCCCGAUAGAGGGGGACAACUACUGGAAACGGUGGCUACUAACGCAUACUAUCGGAUAACCCAUAUGGGAUUGGGUAGUGGGGGGGGUAAAGUCUCACCUAGGCGACGAUCUCUAGCUGGUCUGAGAGGAUGAUCAGCCACACGGGGACGGAGACACGGCCCAGACUCCUACGGAGGCAGCAGUGGGGAAUUGUGCACAAUGGGCGCAAGCCUGAUGCAGCCAUGCCGCGUGUAUGAAGAAGGCCUUAGGGUUGUAAAGUACUUUCAGCAGGAAAGCGUUACCCGCAGAAGAAGCACCGGCUAACUCCGUGCCAGCAGCCGCGGUAAUUC